GCUCUGUAAAGUUACUGGGUAAUAACUUUUUGAAAAAUAUCGAAUUUAGUUUGAUGAUAGGAUUUUUUUUUUAGUGGGAUCUCAUUUUUUCCUAUGCCAGGAAAUACAGCAACUGGACGUCAUAGGUCAAACGUUGACGUCAUUCUCAUUAUGACGUCACGCCAGGUAUGCGAUACGGGUUUUGCUAUGCGAUACGGGGUAUGCGAUACAGGUUUAGCUAUGCGAUACGGGGCAUGCGAUACAGGGUAGGUGAUACAGACUAGAAAAAGGAACCUUUAUUAGAUAUACAAAAUUGCUGUAUUUUGUUCUAAAUAUAUGAUAAACUGUAAUAUAUAUGCUAGUCAUAUAAAUGAUUAUACUAUUUUAUAUUAUAUUUUUGAUGUAUUCAGGGGACUUAAUUCCAUGUUCAACAACAUAUAUUUUGUUAAUACAUUGUAUUGUAUGCCAGGGCUAGUGUAAUAUUUAGAUUGUUUGUCAAAUAAGAAACUAAUGUCAAUUCAAUUGAUUUAUUUUAUUCUUGCCAACAGUUUACAUUUCAAAGAUGUUAAAAUAAAUGUUAUAUUGUAUAUAUA
rnacentral:lncRNA from 1 species